AUGUUGAAACACCAGUUCCCACAUGAUCACCAAAGUUAAGCAACAUCGAGCCGGGACAGUAUCUAGAUGGGUGACUGCUUGAGGAUACCAGGUGCUGUAAU